AAAAAGUGUGGAAAAUCAAGAAAAACAAGUGAAAAAGGUGGUGAGUCCUCCGAUAAAGGCAAGGAAAUUGCAUCCGAGGACCAUAGUCAGAGUACUUCAAAAAUUCGCACUCUAGACAUUCUUACUGCAGUGGGCGGGUUUCCAUGGACCAGACUAUUAG
rnacentral:sRNA from 1 species